UACGUAGGUGGCAAGCGUUGUCCGGAUUUAUUGGGCGUAAAGCGCGCGCAGGCGGUCCUUUAAGUCUGAUGUGAAAUCUUGCGGCUCAACCGCAAGCGGUCAUUGGAAAACUGGGGGACUUGAGUACAGAAGAGGAAAGCGGAAUUCCACGUGUAGCGGUGAAAAUGCGUAGAGAUGUGGAGGAACACCAGUGGCGAAGGCGGCUUCUGGUCUGUAACUGACGCUGAGGCGCGAAAGCGUGGGAGCAAACAGG
rnacentral:rRNA from 1 species